AUCCUCGGAAUAAAUUACAUAACUUGAACCAGAAGCCUAGGAGUCAGUCUUCAUGUUUGAUGUAGCAAACCGAGCUGUCCUGAUUUGAUCUGCUGUCCUUAGAGGCUCAGAUGGCGUCUUUCGCUUUCCCCUUUGGUCAAACCCUGCUGACACCAAAACCCAACCGCAAUCUGGUGGCGCCACCACAGAUCCUUCGUGCAUCCUUCACUACAAUCACCAUAUUCCCUUCUUCAGCGACUCAUUCCCCUCCCAAAGCUCCACAUUUUCAGCUUCACUUCUCCCACUGCCCCUCCGACGACCACGCCAUUUCUCGCAAAACCCAUUCGUCUCUCGCCACUCUCAUUCUUCUCGCUUUCUCCUUCGCCCUUCUUUCUCUCCGCCUCGUCUCUGGCGUCCUCCUCCCUGACUUUCCCGACAGAUGGGCUCAGCUCAUUGCCUUCUCCCAACGAGCCCGUUCCGAGGUGAUGGUCCAUUGCCCCCAGGAUUUGGUGCGGGCCGUCGUCGCGUAUGAGGACCGCCGCUUCUUUAGCCAUUUUGGCGUCGACCCUAUUGGCGUGGCUCGAGCAGUUUUGUCGUUCUCGGCUCGCGGUGGUGGCAGCACUAUAACCCAACAGCUUGUCCGAAACACCUUGCUGAGGAAUGAACGUACAUUCUUGAGGAAAAUUGUUGAGAUGGUGCUGGCUCUGGCAGUUGAGAGGACAAUUUCAAAACUCACAAUCUUGAGCUCUUAUUUAUGUAAGAUAUACUGGGGACAUGGCAUUUAUGGUGUUCAGUCUGCAUCAAAUUUUUACUUCGGGAAGCAUAUAUCUAUUCUUAGCUUGGGUGAAUGUGCUAUGCUUGCAGCAAUGAUACCAGGACCUGAGAUUCGUUCCCCAUUCAGGGAUUCUAGCAGGGGAAAGAUCUUCCAGGCUAGAGUUUUAAGAAGGAUGGUGGACGUUGGAUUUCUUGAUGUUAAGCUAGCCCUUAUGGUUGUGAAGCAAUCCCUAGAAUUGAAUUCUGAAAGUCAUGAUUAUUCAGAAGCAUUUGUUGUUCCCCUGCCUUCUCAUAAAGUGCAAGCACUUGUGAACAUAAACAGUGAAGCUGGUACAUUAUCAAAUUUCAGAAAGAUAUGGAAUUGGGAAAGGGAGAGCAAGAUAUGGGAAGUGAAGGAGGAUAUGGAAAGGUGGGCAAUGAGUGUAACAGAGAAAAGCCGGAUUAAUUACAAGUGACUUCUGGAGCUGAUAGUGGAGAAUGGGAGAAAUGGAGAAUUUACCUCAAUCUGGUCUCCAACUUGAACAAGUGCGCCUAAUGAACUAGUGACAAGUGACAGAGAUGAAUUACUAUCCUUCCAUAUUUGAAAGACUGGGACACUGAUGGAAUUGACUAUUAUCAGAGCAGCCAUGUAUGCACGAUUCAACUAAGGCCAAUUCAGUUUGUAAGAGAAAAGUGCUAACAUGGCAGGAGAGAGAGGAGGAGAGAGAGUGAAAAAAAUGUCCUGCAAAUUCAAGUUUUUGGAAUAGUGUUUGGCAGCAUCAAAAUCGAAGAAAAGAGAGGUGUUGUGCGUGUUUCGCGCACAACAGCACCCAUGCAGGCGCAUCUGUG